AGAGUUUGAUCCUGGCUCAGAACGAACGCUGGCGGCGUGGAUAAGACAUGCAAGUCGAGCGAGAUUUUUUCCUGUGGCAAUACAGGGAAAAGUCUAGCGGCGAACGGGUGCUUAACACGUGGGCAACCUGCCGAGAAGUGGGGGAUAGCUCGCCGAAAGGCGAAUUAAUACCGCAUGUGAUUAGAGAGGACAUUCUUUCGAAAUUAAAGUCGGGGCAACCUGACGCUUUUUGUGGGGCCCGCGGCCUAUCAGCUAGUUGGUGAGGUAACGGCUCACCAAGGCUUUGACGGGUAGCUGGUCUGAGAGGACGACCAGCCACACUGGGACUGAGACACGGCCCAGACACCUACGGGUGGCAGCAGUCGAGAAUUUUUCUCAAUGGGGGAAACCCUGAAGGAGCGACGCCGCGUGGAGGAUGAAGGUCUUCGGAUUGUAAACUUCUGUCAUUGGGGAACAAGGUGCAUACGUUAACUGCGUGUGCAUUGAUAGUACCCGAAGAGGAAGAGACGGCUAACUCUGUGCCAGCAGCCGCGGUAAUACAGAGGUCUCAAGCGUUGUUCGGAUUCAUUGGGCGUAAAGGGUGCGUAGGCGGCGCGGUAAGUCGGGUGUGAAAUCUUGGAGCUUAACUCCGAAACUGCAUUCGAUACUGCCGUGCUUGAGGACUGGAGAGGAGACUGGAAUUUACGGUGUAGCGGUGAAAUGCGUAGAUAUCGUAAGGAAGACCAGUGGCGAAGGCGGGUCUCUGGACAGUUCCUGACGCUGAGGCACGAAGGCCAGGGGAGCAAACGGGAUUAGAUACCCUAGUAGUCC
rnacentral:rRNA from 1 species